rnacentral:misc_RNA from 1 species
UCCGGCUUGUCGCCGGCGGUCCCUUUAGAGUGCCGAACUGAAGAGCUCCAUCUCUGAUGCUCAUACGGGACAUGUCAAAAGUUGGUAAGGUUCUGCGCGUUGCUUCGAAUUGAACCACAUGCUCCACCGCUUGUGCGGGCCCCCGUCAAUUCCUUUGAGUUUUAAUCUUGCGACCGUACUCCCCAGGCGGGAUGCUUAAUGCGUUAGCUGCGCCACUGACAGGCAAGCCUGCCAACGGCUAGCAUCCAUCGUUUACGGCGUGGACUAC